GCCGCGUGAGUGAUGAAGGGUUUCGGCUCGUAAAACUCUGUUGUUGGAGAAGAACAGGUGUCAGAGUAACUGUUGACAUCUUGACGGUAUCCAACCAGAAAGCCACGGCUAACUACGUGCCAGCAGCCGCGGUAAUACGUAGGUGGCAAGCGUUGUCCGGAUUUAUUGGGCGUAAAGCGAGCGCAGGCGGUUUUUUAGGUCUGAUGUGAAAGCCUUCGGCUUAACCGGAGAAGUGCAUCGGAAACCGGGAGACUUGAGUGCAGAAGAGGACAGUGGAACUCCAUGUGUAGCGGUGAAAUGCGUAGAUAUAUGGAAGAACACCAGUGGCGAAGGCGGCUGUCUGGUCUGUAACUGACGCUGAGGCUCGAAAGCAUGGGUAGCGAACAGGAUUA
rnacentral:rRNA from 2 species